GCCUUUGACUGGUCGGGAAAUGCCUCCAAAGAAACAUCACAAACCUAACAAUGAACGGAAAAGACAUUGGAACAGGAAAGGGAGAAGAAAAUAUUCUUAUUAUGAUAAUGGCCCAAGCAAUCAAGAAUCUGAGGCCACCAUAAAUGGAGCUUCAGCGAGUAACAGCCAAGAUACAGAUGAAUAUGAAAUCCCAGGGUUCUACUAUGACAAGGAAAAGAAACGCUACUUCAAGAUUCUGCCAGGACAUAAUCAGAACAAGAGUGCAAUCACUAAAGAAACAAUUAAAGCAAAGGAAAAUGAAUUAAAAAGACAAAAUGACUUGAAAACUUCAACAACUGCUGCUGUAUCUGGCAUUAAUAAUCAGCAUGGUCUAUGUAAAAAUAGAAAGUUAAAUGUGUUGAGUUGUUUAGCCUGCAGAAGAAUGAAUGCACAUGCAAAACCCUUGGAUUAUGAAAGGGAUAUUUUAAAACUAAAAAUCAAGAAACUGCAUUCUGUAUGUAAGACAAAAACUGUUCAGUGUGACUUUGGCCCAGAUAGAUAUGAGCAUAUACAUUUAAUGGCUCCAAAUGCGAUAUAUGAUAAACUGUUAUGUUUGUGGUCUUAUAAAGGUAGCCUUGUGCAGAAACUACAAGUUUGUAGAGUUAAAAAUAAAUCUGUGACAUCAUUGCAUCAACCAAAGCAAAGUGUACAAGACUUUGAUGUCCAAAUAUCUCAAUCAAUGCAUAAAAUCACUCAUGCAUGUUGGGCUACGAUGAAUUCCUCAGGAAGUACUGACUAUGAAUAUGUUCUCUACACAGCAAUGCAACGCCAUCUAUCUCUGGAUAAUAGAGGUAGAAAUGAUAACUCGGUGGCAAUAUUACAAGGUAUAUCAACAAGAGAGGAUGGAAGUCUAACAUUAACAUUAGAUCACCUUGACGACCAGCUUCAGACAUCAUUUAAUUUAAGCAAAAAUGUUCCAUGGACAUGUUGUUGGAACCAACAAAAGAAAAUGAUUGGGAUUGGGUCAGAGAAAUGUGCUUUAUUAUUAGAUGUACCAACUAGGAGAAUGUGGGAGCUUGAUUCCGGGAAUAGUGAUGUGUUAUCGCAAUCCUUUGCUGAUCAGAUGCCCCAUAUAUUGUAUAAUGGCACACGUAGAGGUCAGAUUAUAUCAAACGACAUAAGAAACAAAACAAGGUCCUAUACACUUCCACAAAAAUCAAGUGUUUGCUCAAUUAAACUGCCAAAUGACAACAAUUACAUCAUUUCCAGUGACUUCAGUGGAAAGAUUUGUCGCUGGGAUGUCAGAAUGAGAAAACCUGUGCUGGAAUAUCCAGGUCAUCAGAAUGAGUAUCGUGUACUACCUCUCCAUAUACAUGAGGAACAUGAGCUCCUCUAUACAGCUGGUCAAGACUGCUACACAAGGUUUUGGCACCUCCAUACAGGAGAGCUCCUUUGUGAGAUCCCACCCCCAAAGCCAGCUUCAACAGAUUCUGUGCCCUCUGUUGGCUAUAGCAACAAAUGGGGUGGAGUAUCAGGUUCAAUAGGACUUAUAAUGGGCAUGAAGGACACUAUUAACUAUUAUAAUUUUUAGCAACUAAUUCAUUUCAGACCCUUUGUAUUUUUCAGUUUCAAAAUUCCCUCCACGGCCCUUCUAAUUAGUACUGGAUACCUUUUUGUUUCAUAUCGAGAGUGGGUCAUGGAGAAUAGAACAAAAUACAUGACAUUGUUAUAAGUUUAUAGAAUUGUUUGUAUUGGUUUUCAAACAAGCCUAUGGUAGAAACCAAACCUUUGUUUUAAAAAAUGAAUUGUAAAAAAUAAAUAAACAAUAUUGAAACAAAAGUGACAGCUCAGUUAUGUUGUUUAUUAUACCACUCACUUUGGUUACCAUUCAUGGUAAUGCAGAUAGAUGUACCUGUGUCAGGGCUCACCCCUUUUACUGUAAAACAUUGUCACAUGUAUUAUUUUCACUUAUUUUGUUAAUGACUGAUUCAUGAAGUUUUCAUGCUGUGAAUUAAUAAUUUUAGCUGUAAUAUGAAAACUCUGGAAUCUCUUUAAUUUAUGAUUAUCUUCAAGUCCCAGAUUGAAUAAGACCUGAUCUGAAGGAGCUGAUGGGCAAGAUAAAGAGGUACUAGAUAAAGGUGCUAAAAUUAUGGUAAUGUUCACUGGUCCCACCUGGUUAUAAAUAUGUAACGUCUUUAUAUCAAAAUGGAUGACCUUCCGUUGGAGGAUUUUUUUUAUUUUCAUCAUUCUCACCUACAAAGAUGAUUUGUUCCAAAAUUCCCUCAUUUCAGCAACCAGGACAUUAUUUAGUGAAUUUCGUAAUGUCUUGGUAGCGUUAUGUUAAUGUGCUGUUUGCUAAAGCAAGGGGUUUAUAAUUCAAUUAUUGGACAUUUCCUCCCACUGAAGUUCAUCCAUUUUGGGAACCAGAGAUGUUUGAAAAAGGUGGGUUCCAUAUAGACUACAUGUAUAUGAUUCUUCCAUCAAAAUUGUUUCUUUUUAUCACUCAGUUGUUCAUAA
rnacentral:misc_RNA from 1 species